GACGAACGCUGGCGGCGUGCCUAAUACAUGCAAGUAGAACGCUGAAGGAGGAGCUUGCUUCUCUGGAUGAGUUGCGAACGGGUGAGUAACGCGUAGGUAACCUGCCUGGUAGCGGGGGAUAACUAUUGGAAACGAUAGCUAAUACCGCAUAAGAGUAGAUGUUGCAUGACAUUUGCUUAAAAGGUGCAAUUGCAUCACUACCAGAUGGACCUGCGUUGUAUUAGCUAGUUGGUGGGGUAACGGCUCACCAAGGCGACGAUACAUAGCCGACCUGAGAGGGUGGAUGGCCACACUGGGAAUGGGACACCGCCCAGACCCCUUCGGGAGGCAGCAGUAGGGGAAUUUCGGCAAAGGAAGGAAGUCCUACCGGGGAACGCCGGGGUGGGGGAGGAGGGUUUCGGGUCGGAAAAGUCUGUUUUUAGGGAAGAAAGGGUGUGGGAGGGGGAAGGUCACACUGUGACGGGAACUUACCAGAAAGGGACGGCUAACUACGUG
rnacentral:rRNA from 1 species